AACAUUACCAUCCCCCAAAGCUAAUCAAGAACCCGGGGCAAUUAACUGCUUAAUUACAAACAGGCGCGCGCGCGCGCGGGCGCACACCCACGCACGCGCGCGCACACACACACUCGCAGGCUUGCACGCACUCACACACAUGGCGAGGAAUUCAGCAGGCAGGAGGAGUUAGCCUGGGGGUGCAGGGGCUGCAGACCCCCUGAAAAUAGCCCAGGAAGCAACGUGUCGCCACCUCGCUAAUCCACUGGCCAUGAGUUUGGUACCUCAAGCUGGGCACCACUCCCAGGGACACGGAGAUGAUGGGUCACUGUCCCUGCCUUGCAGAGAGAGAGCUACCGUGCACCGUGACAGCCUGUGACACCUGACCAAUGAUGUGGGCGCUGCAGGGGACACCACCAAGCAACACCAGAGGAUCAGAGGAGAGUCCCAGAGGUGGCUCUGGCUGGGGAGGUUGCAGAUGGGCGCUCAGGCUGAUGCCCUCCAGGUAGUGCCCUGGAGCGUCUUCAUCCACCAGGUGGAUUCGCUCAGCCCAGAGCAGGGACAGAGGACAUGGUGAUUGAAGGGGGCCUGAGAUGCAUUGUAACCAGGUAUGGUAAGACACACAGACAUAGCAGUGACUGUCACGAAGGGACACGUUUUCAUCAUUGUCACUGACCUGGGAAAGGGAAGUAGGCAUCCCACCCCAAAUGUCAGAGCAGCGGACGAAACAGGAAUCCGACGGACACCAGCUGCCGGCUCAGGCUCUGGUCCUGCCGGUAGGCACUGGGCAUUUUUGUGACCUUGCUUGAUGGCCACAGUUGCCCACUGGGGCUGGGCUGGGUGUGCCCACCCUGCAGUGUUGACAAGGAAACUGAGGCCCAGAAAGGAAACCCCCUUCCCGAGGCCACACAGGGACAGGGCCAGGGUGAAGACCAGCCUGGAGUGACACGCAGGGCCCAGGUCGAGGUCCCCUCGGUACAAGGUUAGGAACUGUGGGCUCCUGAAGACCAGAAGAGGGGGCGACCAGUGGAUCGGACAUGGGGUGGCUCCUGGGCUAUGUCAGAGUCUAAUGAGGUUGUACCUGGGGAGCAUCAGCACUUAAUAGGUGCCCAGUAAGCAGCACUCUUGGGUGAGCCAGAGGGGCCCCUGCCCCCGCCUCUAGGCCCCAGUGUCCCCAUUUGUACAGCAAGGAGAGCUCUGGCCACUGAACUUGGGGAAACUCACCCGACUGAUGCUCGAAUGCUCCAGAGACAGGGUGUGCCAAAGCAGCACAGUAAACACCCAGAGACAUCCUGUGUCCACCAGGGGGGACACAUGCACACAGGGGGCUGCUGGGGCCACCGCACAGCUGGCAAAGCCACACGUCACAUGGAAGGAGGGACAGGAGCAGCCGUGGCCUGACAUCACCACGGGGAAGGCUGAGCGGCAGCCACAGGAAGCUCUGGGUUCACGGCUCAGCCUUUCCUUCAGGGCUGGGGAUUGAACCCAGGCCCUCACCCCUACUGGGCAGGCACUGGCUGGAGCCAACCCCGAGUCCUUUUUGAUUUUGACAACAGGUCUGGAUAAGUCUCCCAGGCUGGCCUGGAACCUGCUAUCCUCCUGACUCAGCCUCCUGAGUUGCUGGGUCGACCUGUGUGUGCUCAUCCCUUUUGUACCAUGGUCUUGCUAAGUUGCUGAGGUUGGCCUUGAACUUACGAUCCUCCCGACUCAGCCUCCCCAGCCGCUGGGAUUCCAGGUGUGCACCACUGCGCCCAGUGACUGCAGUGUUAUUCACAACAGUCAAAGAAAGAUUGAAAGCCACAGAAAUGUCCAUCAGUGGAUGAACAUAUCGACCAAAUGUGGUCCAUGGGUUCAACAGAACGCCUCACAACCCCAUGAAGGAAUGGAGGGCCUAUGGACCUUGAGGACCCCACUUCUGUGGAGUGUCUGGAAAAGGCAAAUAAAUCAUAGCAACAGAGAGGGCUGAACCUUGGGAGGGGAAACCAGGAGGUGAGUGGUGAUCGUUGUGAUUUCCUUGUUGGGAGGUGAUGAGAACCUUCUGGAAACAGCUACUAUGGGUGGUAAGUCACACAAUCUGGGAAGAUACUGAACCGUGCCCGGGAAGGGGCGAGUUUGCUGGAAAACCUCGCGUUACUUUUCCGGGGUUGCCUUUAACCAAGUGCCACAAACGGGGUAGGGUUGGUGGCAGGACUGGGGCUGGGGGGGUUGGCUUUCAGCAACAAAAAUGUAUCAUUUUACAGUUGCAGAGGCCAGAGGUCUGCCGUGGAGGAGCUGGCGGGGGACGAGAGGUGUUGGGUCACCCACCUGAAUGAGUUCCACAUGAUGAUAUCUGCAAAGAUCUUGGUCCAAAUAAGGUCACACUGGCCCAUGGGAUUAGAACCAUCUUUUGAGGGACACCCCUCAAUCCAUCACA